AUCCAGGACGAGUCCCAGUGUGAACAUCAACUCUGAGAUGCCGGUACAUCCAGGUGACUAAUCCCAAAUAGGACGAAACGCGCGUCCUGGAU
rnacentral:hammerhead_ribozyme from 1 species